rnacentral:rRNA from 1 species
UACGUAGGGGCCAAGCGUUGUCCGGAUUAUUGGGCGUAAAGAGCUCGUAGGCGGUUCGGCAAGUCGAAUGUGAAAUCUCCACGCUCAACGUGGAGGGGUCAUUCGAUACUGCCGUGCUUGAGGACUGGAGAGGAGACUGGAAUUUACGGUGUAGCGGUGAAAUGCGUAGAUAUCGUAAGGAAGACCAGUGGCGAAGGCGGGUCUCUUGGACAGUUCCUGACGCUGAGGCACGAAGGUCAGGGGAGCAAACGGG